GCCUGAAAAUAUACUCCUUUUUAGAGUUUGUCUUAACUUCACUGCCAACACUAUGUAAUAUGAAGCAUAACAAAGCAAGGUGUAUACUGAGAGGGACGGAAAAUGAAGCUUUACAUGGUCUCCCAUCCUCCAUGCCCCCCAUACUUGGGGUAUCAAGAUGGCCUCAUUUAAAGAAAACUUCAUAGAACUGAAAACUUUGAAACAUGCAGAGAGGUAAACAAUAAGUGAAUUUUCUGGUCCAAACAGAGUAAUAAUGAUUCCUCUGGAAAUGUAGACUUGCCAGUGGCAUUUGUUCCUUACACUAAUGAAUGGAGAUAACUGAGACUUCUUGUUCCAACACACACACUUUGACUUAAGGAGAACAAAUUCACAAAGUGAUGGAUUUCUGCUCUGCAACAGUUUCUACAGCUUCGAACACUUUAAAUUUAGGAACUUAUGUCUAUUCUUGGAGAUGAGCAAAGAUGUCCAUCAAAAAUUGUGACAUGAACAUUUUAAAUUAGCUAAAAUAUAGA